UAGAAACAAAAUUAGAACUGAUUUUCAACAAGGCUACUUGGACCUUUCAGUGGGAGAAAGAAGAAUAUUUCCAACAAGGGUCUUGGUCAACUGGACAGCUUCAUGAAAAAAGUUAGCUUAGAUUCUUAAGUCACACCACAUACAAAAAUUAAUUCAAAAUUGAUCAAAGACCCAAGUGUAAGAAUGAAAAGUAUAAGACUCUUAGCAAAAACCUAGGACUAAAUCUUCCUAUUAGAGUUACCAGUGGACUUUUAGACAUGACACCAAAUGCAAAAUAAUAAUAAUAAUAAUAAUAGAGGAAAAAAUUGGAGUUUAAAAAGCUGCUCAGUAUAUACAGGAACCAAACAUCACAUUGUAUCUCAUAAAUAAUUGUAAAUAUUAUGUAUCAAUCAAAAGUAUAAUAAAAUAAUAAGUCUCUAUGUUCUAAAAGACUCUAUUAAGAGAAUGAAAAGGAAACUCAGAAUGAGAGAAAAUGUCUGCAAAUCUUAUAUCUGGUAAGAUACUUGUAUCUAAAAUAUAAAAAGACUUUUACAAUUUAUAUAAGAUAAAUGACUCAAUAUAAAAAUGGGCAAAGAAACUGAUACUUCUCCAUUGAAUAUUUACAAACGUCCAGUCAGUACAAAGAAACAAAUGGAUGGCAUUGUGAGUCACAGAGAAAUACAAAUAAAAAACACAGACUUCACUACGUAUCCAUCAGGAUGGCUAGAAUU
rnacentral:lncRNA from 1 species